GCACCGAUAGCUCAGUGGUAGAGCGGCUGAUUGCAGACCAGCAGGUCACCAGAUCAACCCUGGUUCGGUGCU